rnacentral:rRNA from 1 species
CGUACACUCCUGCGGGAGGCAGCAGUGGGGAAUAUUGCACAAUGGGCGCAAGCCUGAUGCAGCCAUGCCGCGUGUAUGAAGAAGGCCUUCGGGUUGUAAAGUACUUUCAGCGGGGAGGAAGGCGAUAAGGUUAAUAACCUUGUCGAUUGACGUUACCCGCAGAAGAAGCACCGGCUAACUCCGUGCCAGCAGCCGCGGUAAUACGGAGGGUGCAAGCGUUAAUCGGAAUUACUGGGCGUACAGCGCACGCAGGCGGUCUGUCAAGUCGGAUGUGAAAUCCCCGGGCUCAACCUGGGAACUGCAUUCGAAACUGGCAGGCUAGAGUCUUGUAGAGGGGGGUAGAAUUCCAGGUGUAGCGGUGAAAUGCGUAGAGAUCUGGAGGAAUACCGGUGGCGAAGGCGGCCCCCUGGACAAAGACUGACGCUCAGGUGCGAAAGCGUGGGGAGCAAACAGGAUUAGAUACCCGGGUAGUCCCA